UGGUUAAGCCGCGAAUGGCUCAUUACAACAGCCAUAGUUUAUUGGAUCUAAGUAUCCUACUUGGAUACCUGUGGUAAUUCUAGAGCUAAUACACGCACCAAAGCCCUGACCUUACGGGAAGGGCGCAUUUAUUAGGACAAAACCAAUUGGCUUCGGCCAUUCUUUGGUGACUCUGAAUAACUACGCUGAUCGCACGGUCUCGCACCGGCGACAUAUCCUUCAAGUGUCUGCCUUAUCAACUGUCGAUGGUAGGUUACAUGCCUACCAUGGUAGUAACGGGUAACGGAGUUUUCGGGAACGACUCCGGAGAGGGAGCCUGAGAAACGGCUACCACAUCCAAGGAAGGCAGCAGGCGCGCAAAUUACCCACUCUCAGCUCGAGGAGGUAGUGACGAAAAAUAACGAGACAGUUCUCUUUGAGGUCUGUCAUCGGAAUGGGUACAAUUUAAACCCUUUAACGAGGAUCAAUUGGAGGGCAAGUCUGGUGCCAGCAGCCGCGGUAAUUCCAGCUCCAAUAGCGUAUAUUAAAGUUGUUGC
rnacentral:rRNA from 1 species